rnacentral:miRNA from 1 species
CUAACCUAGUAGAUGAAGCA